rnacentral:rRNA from 1 species
GGGUUGUGAGGUUAAGUGACUAAGCGUACACGGUGGAUGCCUAGGCAGUCAGAGGCGAUGAAGGGCGUGCUAAUCUGCGAAAAGCGUCGGUAAGGUGAUAUGAACCGUUAUAACCGGCGAUACCCGAAUGGGGAAACCCAGUGUGUUUCGACACACUAUCAUGUCAUGAAUACAUAGUGGCAUGAGGCGAACCGGGGGAACUGAAACAUCUAAGUACCCCGAGGAAAAGAAAUCAACCGAGAUUCCCCCAGUAGCGGCGAGCGAACGGGGAGGAGCCCAGAACCUGAAUCGGCUUGUGUGUUAGUGGAAGCGUCUGGAAAGUCGCGCAGUAAAGGGUGAUAGCCCCGUACACUAAAAUGCACAGGUCGUGAGUUCGAUGAGUAGGGCGGGACACGUGACAUCCUGUCUGAAUAUGGGGGGACCAUCCUCCAAGGCUAAAUACUCCUGACUGACCGAUAGUGAACCAGUACCGUGAGGGAAAGGCGAAAAGAACCCCGGCGAGGGGAGUGAAAUAGAACCUGAAACCGUGUACGUACAAGCAGUGGGAGCACCUUCGUGGUGUGACUGCGUACCUUUUGUAUAAUGGGUCAGCGACUUAUAUUUUGUAGCAAGGUUAACCGUAUAGGGGAGCCGUAGGGAAACCGAGUCUUAACUGGGCGAAUAGUUGCAAGGUAUAGACCCGAAACCCGGUGAUCUAGCCAUGGGCAGGUUGAAGGUUGGGUAACACUAACUGGAGGACCGAACCGACUAAUGUUGAAAAAUUAGCGGAUGACUUGUGGCUGGGGGUGAAAGGCCAAUCAAACCGGGAGAUAGCUGGUUCUCCCCGAAAGCUAUUUAGGUAGCGCCUCGUGAACUCAUCUUCGGGGGUAGAGCACUGUUUCGGCUAGGGGGCCAUCCCGGCUUACCAAACCGAUGCAAACUCCGAAUACCGAAGAAUGUUAUCACGGGAGACACACGGCGGGUGCUAACGUCCGUCGUGAAGAGGGAAACAACCCAGACCGCCAGCUAAGGUCCCAAAGUCAUGGUUAAGUGGGAAACGAUGUGGGAAGGCAUAGACAGCCAGGAUGUUGGCUUAGAAGCAGCCAUCAUUUAAAGAAAGCGUAAUAGCUCACUGGUCGAGUCGGCCUGCGCGGAAGAUGUAACGGGGCUAAACCAUGCACCGAAGCUGCGGCAGCGACGCUUAGGCGUUGUUGGGUAGGGGAGCGUUCUGUAAGCCGUUGAAGGUGGCCUGUGAGGGUUGCUGGAGGUAUCAGAAGUGCGAAUGCUGACAUAAGUAACGAUAAAGCGGGUGAAAAGCCCGCUCGCCGGAAGACCAAGGGUUCCUGUCCAACGUUAAUCGGGGCAGGGUGAGUCGACCCCUAAGGCGAGGCUGAAAAGCGUAGUCGAUGGGAAACAGGUUAAUAUUCCUGUACUUGGUGUUACUGCGAAGGGGGGACGGAGAAGGCUAGGCUAGCCGGGCGACGGUUGUCCCGGUUUAAGCGUGUAGGGGGUGUGACCUGGUAAAUCCGGUUACAUACUAACCCUGAGGCGUGAUGACGAUGCACUACGGUGCAGAAGUAGUUGAUGCCCUGCUUCCAGGAAAAGCCUCUAAGCUCUAGGUAACAUUGAAUCGUACCCCAAACCGACACAGGUGGUCAGGUAGAGAAUACCAAGGCGCUUGAGAGAACUCGGGUGAAGGAACUAGGCAAAAUGGUGCCGUAACUUCGGGAGAAGGCACGCUGGCAUGUAGGUGAAGUCCUUCGCGGAUGGAGCUGAAGCCAGUCGAAGAUACCAGCUGGCUGCAACUGUUUAAUAAAAACACAGCACUGUGCAAACACGAAAGUGGACGUAUACGGUGUGACGCCUGCCCGGUGCUGGAAGGUUAAUUGAUGGGGUCAGCCGCAAGGCGAAGCUCUUGAUCGAAGCCCCAGUAAACGGCGGCCGUAACUAUAACGGUCCUAAGGUAGCGAAAUUCCUUGUCGGGUAAGUUCCGACCUGCACGAAUGGCGUAAUGAUGGCCAGGCUGUCUCCACCCGAGACUCAGUGAAAUUGAACUCGCUGUGAAGAUGCAGUGUACCCGCGGCAAGACGGAAAGACCCCGUGAACCUUUACUAUAGCUUGACACUGAACAUUGAGCCUUGAUGUGUAGGAUAGGUGGGAGGCUUUGAAGCGUGGACGCCAGUCUGCGUGGAGCCAUCCUUGAAAUACCACCCUUUAAUGUUUGAUGUUCUAACUCGGCCCCAUAAUCUGGGGUGAGGACAGUGUCUGGUGGGUAGUUUGACUGGGGCGGUCUCCUCCCAAAGAGUAACGGAGGAGCACGAAGGUUAGCUAAUCACGGUCGGACAUCGUGAGGUUAGUGCAAAGGCAUAAGCUAGCUUGACUGCGAGAGUGACGGCUCGAGCAGGUACGAAAGUAGGUCUUAGUGAUCCGGUGGUUCUGAAUGGAAGGGCCAUCGCUCAACGGAUAAAAGGUACUCCGGGGAUAACAGGCUGAUACCGCCCAAGAGUUCAUAUCGACGGCGGUGUUUGGCACCUCGAUGUCGGCUCAUCACAUCCUGGGGCUGAAGUAGGUCCCAAGGGUAUGGCUGUUCGCCAUUUAAAGUGGUACGCGAGCUGGGUUUAGAACGUCGUGAGACAGUUCGGUCCCUAUCUGCCGUGGGCGUUGGAAGAUUGAGAGGGGUUGCUCCUAGUACGAGAGGACCGGAGUGAACGCACCACUGGUGUUCGGGUUGUCAUGCCAAUGGCAUUGCCCGGUAGCUAAGUGCGGAAAAGAUAAGCGCUGAAAGCAUCUAAGCGCGAAACUUGCCUCAAGAUGAGUCUUCCCUGGGCCUUUAAGGCCCCUGAAGGAACGUUUAAGACUAAGACGUUGAUAGGCUGGAUGUGUAAGUGCAGCGAUGCAUUGAGCUAACCAGUACUAAUGAUCCGUGAGGCUUAACCUUACAACACCGAAGGUGUUU